UACGGAGGGUGCGAGCGUUGUCCGGAAUCACUGGGCGUAAAGGGCGCGUAGGCGGUUCGCUAAGUGGCUGGUGAAAUCCCGGGGCUCAACUCCGGGGCUGCCGGUCAGACUGGCGGACUAGAGCACGGUAGAGGCGGAUGGAAUUCCCGGUGUAGCGGUGGAAUGCGUAGAUAUCGGGAAGAAUACCGGUGGCGAAGGCGUUCCGCUGGGCCGUUGCUGACGCUGAGGCGCGACAGCGUGGGGAGCAAACAGG
rnacentral:rRNA from 1 species